rnacentral:rRNA from 1 species
UACGUAGGGACCAAGCGUUGUUCGGAUUUACUGGGCGUAAAGGGCGCGUAGGCGGCAUGACAAGUCACUUGUGAAAUCUCCGGGCUUAACUCGGAACGGCCAAGUGAUACUGUCGCGCUAGAGUGCAGAAGGGGCAAUCGGAAUUCUUGGUGUAGCGGUGAAAUGCGUAGAUAUCAAGAGGAACACCUGAGGUGAAGACGGGUUGCUGGGCUGACACUGACGCUGAGGCGCGAAAGCUAGGGUAGUAAACGGG